UAGAUUGUUGAAAUAGUACUU
ensembl:piRNA 21ur-15338 ncRNA